UUAUUUGUUCUCUAGGGUUCCGCAGCUGUUGUGCGAUGCUGGUCUGGUCCGAGGGAGAACGCACGGAGUGAACCAUGGCCGUGUAUACACGGAGGGAUAAAAGCCCGGGAGGU
rnacentral:sRNA from 2 species